CCAAGGAAGGCAGCAGGCGCGCAAAUUACCCACUCCCGGAACGGGGAGGUAGUGACGAAAAAUAACAAUACGGGACUCUUUUGAGACCCCGUAAUUGGAAUGAGCACACUCCAAAUCCUUUAGCGAGUACCCAUUGGAGGACAAGUCUGGUGCCAGCACCCGCGGUAACUCCAGCUCCAAUAGCGUAUAUUAAAGUUGUUGCGGUUAAAAAGCUCGUAGUUGGAUCUCAGUGCGAGGCGGGCGGUCCGCCUACCGGUGGUCACUGCCCGGUCUCCACACCAGCCGGUUUCCCUGGAUGAUCUUCACCGGUUGUCUUGGGUGACCGGCAAGUUUACUUUGAAAAAAUUAGAGUGCUCAAAGCAGGCGCGACGCCUGGAUAAUGGUGCAUGGAAUAAUGGAAUAGGACCUCGGUUCUAUUUUGUUGGUUUUAGGAACACGAGGUAAUGAUUAAGAGGGACAGACGGGGGCAUUCGUAUUGCGACGCUAGAGGUGAAAUUCUUGGACCGCCGCACGACGAACUACUGCGAAAGCAUUUGCCAAGAAUGUUUCCAUUAAUCAAGAACGAAAGUUAGAGGUCCGAAGGCGAUCAGAUACCGCCCUAGUUCUAACCAUAAACGAUGCCAGCCAGCGAUCCGGCUGCGUUCCUCAAAUGACGCGCCGGGCAGCUUCCGGGAAACCAAAGCUUUUGGGUUCCGGGGGGAGUAUGGUUGCAAAGCUUAAACUUGAAGGAAUUGACGGAAGCGCACACAAGGAAUGGGGCCUGCGGUUUAAUUUGACUCAACACGGUGCAACUCUCCCGGCCCGGACACAGGAAGGAUUGACAGAU
rnacentral:rRNA from 1 species